UUCGGAGGCCAGCGGCCCGCCCCACACUGCAUCUCGCUCCUGACGGCCCAUCUAGCCGUCCCGCGUCUCUAGUGUUUUCCCUUCUUGCCCAUCUACCCGCAGGCUUCCUCUCGUCUGCACUCCCACAUUGGCCCCUCUACCCGCCCGCCUCUCUAUGGUUCCCCCAUCUCCCCAGGCCCAGCCAUCUGCCUUGUUACAACUUCUCCUUCUCUAAGCUCCUCAGCACUGGAGCCAGCGGGUCCUAGGUGGGUUGGGUCGGCUAUCCAGGCUGCCUCUCUGGUCCAGCCGAGAGGAAACGGCGGCCAGUGAGAGUGCUUUUAGGAAAGGCUCGGGCCGUGACUGGGGAGAGUCCCUGGGAAAAAGGAGCGCGUUUCGGGCCCUUUGCGAAAACGCUCCGGCUGGAAACACAAGGCUCCGAGAGGAAGGAGCCGCUCUCCGCUCUGACCCACCCCACCCCCUUCACGCUGGGAACCAACGGGGAGAUCGGGAUGUGCCCACCUCAUCACACAGACGAAAACCUCAGGCGCCAGAAUGGGGAGGAACUCGCUCAGAACCAGCCAGGAGCCAGCUGGGGCUCCCGACUCUCGGUUCUGGGAACCUCCGUGUUUUUCUGUUGGAAGAUAGGCGGGAUCGAACAGGAAGGUUUGAGGAGGAUCUCUGAGGAUUACUAUUGGCGUAGGACUUCAGACGGCCAUUGUUACCAGCUACUUAUUCAUCUCUGUAUUCAUUUCACAUUCAAUACACUUAUGUGUUGAUUCACUAAUUCAAUUCAUGUGUAUUGAAUAUCUGAAUACUCCCAGACACUAGUGUGGACGUCAGAGAUAUGGGAGGUGAAGAUGUGAACAUGGUGUCUACCUUCAGGGAACUGACAGUAUCAUGAGAAUUAUCAUGGAAUUGAUUUGAGGUUUUCAAAAUUCAGAUUACAAAAACAGUCUACAGGCUCCCACACCAACAUUUUAUUAUGAAAAAUUUCAAAUAUAUAGAAAAGUUGAAAGAA